GAGUGGUGAUCUCAUUUGUGUGAAGAGCGGAGAGAGUCGUCCCACCAAGGCUGGCAGAAGACUCUAAGGAGGAGUGGCUUAGGGAGGAAAUGAAGCCAGUGGCUGAGUCUCUGACCCUUUCUGGGAAGAACAUCCUGCUGGUAACAGAGAAGCUCCACCUGCAGCCGGAGUAUCAGGGCCAUUGGGAGGAGCUAGUAGCCACGGUUCAGCAGAUCCUGGUGGACACUAAGAAGGUCUUGCUCCUUGAUGAUGCUGCAGCGGUGAGGAGGACCCUGCUAGCGGCCAGUUGGUGUCUGACAUGCCUGGAGGCGCUGGAGGCGGCGGAGGAUUCCACCUCGCUGCGCACCUCGCUCGCUGACCUGGCGGCUGCGUUGCUCCGACUGGGCGGCCUGACCGCGCGCUGGGCCCGGGACGAGCGUCUGGGUCGAGCUCGCCACCGCUUAGGAUGCUGCGUCCCCGCGCUGCUCGCGGCCG
rnacentral:lncRNA from 1 species